AACGCAAAUUGCACUCUCCGGUUUUCCGGGAGAGUAUGCCUGUUUGAGGGUCUGUUUAAAAAACAAUCGAGGCUGCUGCUGUGUGGUGGCGCCUCGGAAUUGGGUCAUCUUCCACCUUUCGGGGUUGUAAGCGACUUAAAAUUUUUUUUACGGUUUCGAUGAGCGUGUUUAAGGAUACUCCUAUACGUUCAUGAUAUCGAAAUUCCCUAUUAGGGGUGACCGCCGCGUCGGUUUCACUCCCAUAAUUAUCAUCAAAGGACCUCAGACAGGUAAGAUUACCCGCUGAACUUAA
rnacentral:misc_RNA from 1 species